rnacentral:rRNA from 1 species
AUGGCUGUCGACGCCAUGUUCCCCGUCCUGCGCUUCUCCGACUACUUCACUCGGCCGUCGGUCGAGGAGUUGGUCGAGAGGGAGGCGGCUGACCCGGGCUACUGCAGCAGGGUUCCAGAUUUCGUCGUCGGCAGGGCGAGGUAUGGGCAGGUGAAGUUCUCUGGCAGCACCGAUGUGAGGGGGCUGGACCUGAACGAAAUCGUCAAGUUUGGCCGCCAUUCUGUGGUGGUUUACCGGGACGAGGCUGGCAAACCGGUCGUAGGGCACGGCCUCAAUAAAGCUGCAGAGGUGACCCUGAAGCUGGAUUUGGAUACACUUCCGAAACCCGGCCUCCUAGUUGAGUUGCUACGGUGCCGCGCGAAGAAGCAAGGUGCUAGGUUUCUCUCAUUCAAUCCUGUGAGUGGUAACUGGAAGUUCGAGGUCGAUCACUUCAGUAGGUUUGGGCUUGUGGACGAGGAGGAGGAUGAUGUUGCCAUGGAUGAGCCGGUUGUACGGCCACCGAUUGCUGAAGCAAGAGACCCACCUUCAAAUGGGCAUGAACUGGAGCUUUCGCAUUCGUUGCCUGCUCAUCUUGGGCUUGACCCUGCAAAGAUGCAGGAAAUGCGGAUGGCAUUGUUUCCCAAUGAUGACGAAGACGAAGACAUGGAGGAUGGCUUUCCAUCUGAUCGCAGACACCUCAGCAGAGAAAGGAUGAGUGUGGAUUCACCCAACACAAGUGGUAAAGGUCAGAGGAUGAGGUCUCUCUCUCCUUUGCAUGGUUCUUCUCAGAAAUUUGGAAGGAGGUCUGGUGUGCUCGCAAGGAAAGAACCACAUGCACUGCUGGAAUACAAUGUAAAUUCUACAGAGGUUGGUCCAUCUUCUCAUGGUAUUCUCAUGUCUGGAAAAAACAAGGGAUUUCCGGUCAGAAUGGCCAAGGUAGAAGGCUUCAAACUACCAGCUGAGCAAGCAACUCCUGUUGCUGGAAAAGUAUAUUCUAACUGCGUAGUGGAUGCUGCUUUAUUUAUGGGUAGAUCAUUUCGAGUUGGUUGGGGACCAAAUGGCAUCCUUCUCCAUUCUGGUAGUCCUGUUAAUACUCCUGGAACUGGCCUUUCUUCUGUUAUUCACAUAGAGAAAGUUGCAGGUGAUAAAGUUGUGCGUGAUGAGCAGAACAAAGUUAAAGAGGAGCUGGCAGAACUAUGUUUCUCGGAUCCAAUGGACCUCCAUAAGAGGCUUGACCGCGAAAUUCUGGAAACUGAGUCUGACUCGUUUAAAUUAAAGCUUCAGAAAGUUGUGGCAAGUCGUUUGGUUUUGCCAGAUAUUUGCAGAUCAUACAUUGAUAUCAUCGAAAGGCAGCUUGAAAUCAGUGAUUUAUCCAUGUCUUCACGUGUGCUGUUAAUGCAUCAAGUUACGGUUUGGGAGCUAAUUAGGGUCCUGUUCUCUGAGAGAGAAGCUGGCAACCAGUUGGAAUUUUGUGGUGAUGAGGAUCAGGAGGGCAUGAUUUUGGAUAAGAAAGAAGGUUCUGUGAACAUUGACCCUGAUGCACUUCCUUUGGUUAGGAGAGCAGACUUUAGCAAUUGGUUACAGGACAGUGUUUGUCAUCGGGUACAAGGAGAGGUGGGUUCUUUAAGUGAUGCCAGAUACUUGGAGCAUAUUGUUCUGCAUUUGACUGGUCGACAAUUGGACACAGCCACAGAAAUUGCUGCUUCAAAGGGAGAUGUCCGCUUGGCAGUCCUGCUAAGCCAGGCAGGUGGAUCGAUGUUAAAUCGCUCGGAUGUUGCUCAGCAGCUGGAUCUGUGGAAAAUAAAUGGUCUGGACUUCGAUUAUAUUGAGGAAGACAGGUUAAAGAUAUACGAGUUGCUUGCUGGUAACAUACAAAGCGCUUUACUUGAUUCACCAAUCGACUGGAAAAGGUACCUUGGUUUAAUCAUGUGGUAUCAGUUGUCACCAGAUACAUCACUUGAUAUGAUCAUUCGGUGUUAUCACCAACUACUUGGCGAGGGCAAAGUUCCAAAUCCUGUUCCUGUAUAUAUCGAUGAAGGACCUCUUGAGGACGCACUUCAGUGGUCCCCAGGUGACCGAUUUGACAUAUCUUUUUAUUUAAUGCUUCUUCAUGCAAACCAAGAUGAGAAGUUUGGGCUUCUAAAGACUAUGUUCAGUGCAUUCUCGUCAUCAUAUGAUCCCAUGGACUACCAUAUGAUCUGGCAUCAACGAUCUAUUCUCGAAGCUAUUGGUGCUUUCAGUACAAAUGAUCUUCAUGUACUGGAUUUGAGUUUUGUCCAUCAGUUACUAUGUCUUGGGAAGUGCCAUUGGGCUAUCUACGUCAUUCUGCAUAUGCCACAUCUGGAUGAUGCCCCUUACAUCCACGAAAAAUUAAUCAGGGAAAUUUUGUCGCAGUAUUGUGAGAUAUGGAGCAAAGAUGGGGCUCAGAGGCAAUAUAUUGCAGAACUUGGUAUACCAGCAGAAUGGAUACAUGAGGCUCUGGCUCUUUAUCACGAAUACUAUGGAGAUCGACAAGGUGCACUGGGGAAUUAUAUUCAAUGCGGCAAUUGGAAGAAAGCUCAUACCAUUUUCAUGACAUCUGUUGCUCAUUCUUUGUUUCUGUCAUCCAAACAUCAAGAAAUAUUCGACAUUACAAGUGCUUUGGAGAAUCACAAAUCUGAAAUUGCUGACUGGGACGUUGGUGCUGCAAUAUACAUAGACUAUUUCAACAUAAAAAACUGCAUGCAAGAAGAAAGUACUAUGGACGAUGAUUCAGAUCCACUUGAGAGUAAAAAUGAAUUGUGCAAGAGUUUCUUCGAUCGAUUAAAUGACUCGCUGGGUAUCUGGGGAAGCAAAUUACCCAUUGAGGCAAGGGCAUGCUUCUCGAAGAUGGCAGAGGAGCUCUGCGAGCUUCUAAUGAGCUCCCCCGGCGAGGGCUCGGCGCCAGAUCUCUUCAUGAGCUGCUUUCAGACGAUGCUCAACGCCCCUGUGCCCACCGACAACAGGGCGUCCUACCUGCAGGAGGCAGUCUCUGUUUUCACCGACAUACUUUGCGGGGACUCAUUGUAA